ensembl:miRNA
GUGAUUUCUGAAAGCAGGUAAGCCACUGACUAACGCACAUUGCGCCUGUUCUUCACUCCACUGUGCGUGUGACAGCGGCUAACCAGCUUUUGGAU